CUAGAACACCCCAUGGAUUUAGGAGCCACUGACACACGAUCCAGAUGGUGACCCUGUAAAGCCACCACCUGCUUGCAAGCCUGUCUCUGUGCUUCUGCUGAGAAACAGAAUGCCAUUUCCCUUAGUGCCUGUCUUGUAAAUAAUCACCGCUCCCCAACCAGCCAUUCCCCAAAUGACAAGAACCAUCCUGUGGCCUUCUCCGCUCCCCAGCCUGGCCUGGCCUCAUUGUGCCUUGGAACUCUGUCCUCCUGCCUCACUCAAAAGGUACAUGAUUUGUAUCUUACUCCCACAACAGCGUGAUCCGAUGUCACCACAGGCGGGGACUUUUAAUGGGGACAAUCUCCGAAGACUUUUUAUUUAAAAAAAAUAAUUUUCAGCAGUGAAAUAGUUGUUUCACUGGGAAGAAGGUCCACUCUGCUGCUCAUACCACCAUCCUGGAAGUCAAUCUGAUUGAGUUUUAUAAGAAAAGAAAAGUCAUGGAUACCUUGAAGUCAACAGCACUCAAAGAAUCAUAGUGCAUGACAUCAGACUGUCAAUGUGGGAAGUGAAAACACGUAAUGGGAAAGUCUCAUUGUUGACAGUUUUUCUAUUGGUGUCAUAUGCCAGUGCUCUCUUUCAUAAACUUGGUGCACCCAGCAGAAGAAAACAAUAUCACUGAAAUGCAGCUAAGAGUUGAUCCAGAAUUCUCUCCUGCUUUGGAAAUGAAAUCCUUGAUACCUAACUAUGAAAUUUAGCCAUACUGAUUAAAAGCACCUGCUAGAGGCUGCAGAGAAUAAAGCAAACAAUUACACUUAAACAUCUCAGAAUCUGACUCUUAGACCUUUGAAGCCCAAAAGCCUAGCAAACCCACUUUAAAAUCUCACAUUGAAAAAUCACAUGUAAUAAAUAUAUAUAUACCUUUCAAUGGAAGCUCUCUGAGGCAACAAUAAAAGGCCCAUAUACAAAAAGGUAAAAAUCUUUUAGAAAAAAAAAUUGGUAAGCAAGUAACUUAAACAUCAGGCAGAAAAUGCAAAGUUAGGCCAUUUGGAAGCUUAUAAUUCCAAAUAAUAAUUUGGAAGCUUAUAAUUCCAAAGUUAGGCCAUUUGGAAGCAAAGUUAGGCCAUUUGGAAGCUUAAUGUCGAAAUUUCAAAAUCAAUUUUUUACUUCAAG
rnacentral:lncRNA from 10 species